rnacentral:rRNA from 1 species
AAUUCGUGGACCGCAGCGAGACGCACUAAAGCGAAGGCAUUUGGAGUGUUUUCAUUAAACGAAAGUCAGAGGUUCGAAGGCGAUUAGAUACCGCCCUAGUUCUGACCGUAAACGAUGCCAACUAUCGAUCCGCCUGUGGACCCAAAAUUCAUAGGCGGGGAGGUCGCCGGAAACGAAAGUCUUUCGGUUCCGGGGGAAGUAUGGUUGCAAAGCUGAAACUUAAAGGAAUUGACGGAAGGGCACCACCAGGAGUGGAGCUUGCGGCUUAAUUUGACUCAACACGGGAAAACUCACCCGGCCAGUACAUCGUAAGGAUUGACAGAUUGAAAGCUCUUUCAUGAUUCGGUGAAUGGUGGUGCAUGGCCGUUCUUAGUUCGUGGCGUGAGUCGUCUGCUUAAUUGCGAUAACGAGCGAGACUCCGAUUGUUAACUAGUCGAGGCGUUGAUUCGUCUGCACCUCCGACUUCUUAACGAGAUCGGGCGCUUCAAGCGCCAAGAGAUGGAGCAAUAACAGGUCUGUGAUGCCCUUAGAUGUUCGGGGCUGCACGCGUGCUACAAUAGUAGCAACAACGGGAUUGUCCUCGCCCGACAGGGCUUGGCAAACCGCUGAGAUGUUAUUAUGGCUGGAAUUGAGUGUUGAAAUUCUCUCUCAUGAACGAGGAAUUCCAAGUAAAUGCGAGUCAUCAACUCGCAUUGAUUACGUCCCUGCCCUUUGUACACACCGCCCGUCGCUGCCCGGGACUGAGUUAUUUCGAGAAAUCC